rnacentral:rRNA from 1 species
GUGGGGAAUAUUGCACAAUGGGGGAAACCCUGAUGCAGCAACGCCGCGUGGAGGAUGACGCAUUUCGGUGUGUAAACUCCUUUUAUAAGGGAAGAUAAUGACGGUACCUUAUGAAUAAGCACCGGCUAACUCCGUGCCAGCAGCCGCGGUAAUACGGAGGGUGCAAGCGUUACUCGGAAUCACUGGGCGUAAAGGAUGCGUAGGCUGUAAUAUAAGUCAGAAGUGAAAUCCAACGGCUUAACCGUUGAACUGCUUUUGAAACUGUUUUACUAGAAUAUGGGAGAGGUAGAUGGAAUUGGUGGUGUAGGGGUAAAAUCCGUAGAUAUCACCAGGAAUACCGAUUGCGAAGGCGAUCUACUGGAACAUUAUUGACGCUGAGGCAUGAAAGCGUGGGGAGCAAACAGGAUUAGAAACCCGGGUAGUCC